CACCCAUGACAGUGUGGUGUGCAGAUGGAUCCCUAGCCGUCGCAUCUGCACGGUGGCGGUGGAGUGAGGAAACAGUCAAACAGAAGAGACACAAGUGGAGGAGUGGAAUAUUGACGCUUGGUAAUCGAGUGAUGAUUUUAAGAUGAAGAAUUGAGUAUUAUGGUCUUUGGGGUAUGUCUUUAUAUGUAAGCAAAUUUUGAUGGUUCCAAUCGAGUAAUGAUAUUUUGGUUAGAUGAAGUUGU